AUUGAACGCUGGCGGCAGGCCUAACACAUGCAAGUCGAACGAGUGGCGGACGGGUGAGUAAUGUCUGGGAAACUGCCCGAUGGAGGGGGAUAACUACUGGAAACGGUGGCUAAUACCGCAUACCAUCGGAUGUACCCAUAUGGGAUUAGCUAGUUGGUGGGGUAAUGGCUCACCAAGGCGAAGAUCCCUAGCUGGUCUGAGAGGAUGACCAGCCACACUGGGACGUAGACACGGUCCAGACUCCUACGGGAGGCAGCAGUGGGGAAUAUUGCACAAUGGGCGCAAGCCUGAUGCAGCCAUGCCGCGUGUAUGAAGAAGGCCUUAGGGUUGUAAAGUACUUUCAGCGGGGAGGCGUUACCCGCAGAAGAAGCACCGGCUAACUCCGUGCCAGCAGCCGCGGUAAUAC
rnacentral:rRNA from 1 species